UACGGGGGGGGCAAGCGUUGUUCGGAAUUACUGGGCGUAAAGGGCGCGUAGGCGGCCUUCUAAGUCGGACGUGAAAUCCCUCGGCUUAACCGGGGAACUGCGUCUGAUACUGGAUGGCUUGAGUUCGGGAGAGGGAUGCGGAAUUCUAGGUGUAGCGGUGAAAUGCGUAGAUAUCUGGAGGAACACCGGUGGCGAAGGCGGCAUCCUGGACCGAUACUGACGCUGAGGAGCGAAAGCCAGGGGAGCAAACGGG
rnacentral:rRNA from 1 species